rnacentral:misc_RNA from 1 species
AAGUCGUAACAAGGUUUCCGUAGGUGAACCUGCGGAAGGAUCAUUACCGAAUUGUCGACACGAGUUGUUGCUGGCCCUCAAACGGGGGCAUGUGCACGCUCUGUUUGCAUCCACUCACACCUGUGCACCUCUUGUAGUUCUACGGUUGGGGAGGCACCCACCUUUCCUCCUGGGGUUCUACGUUUUUACACACACACUGUAACAUGGUUUUAUGGAAUGCAUGCAGCGUUUAACGCAAUACAAUACAACUUUCAGCAACGGAUCUCUUGGCUCUC